rnacentral:lncRNA from 13 species
CCUGUCUCUCACCGGCUUCUACUCCCCCAGAGAAUACCCAGCGAUACCCUGAGCAGGCCAGGUGUGGAUCUGGGCCGUGUCUGGCCUUCGUGGGAAGCAGGUGAGCCUCAGCCGGCCAGGUGUGGAUCUGGGCUGUGUCUGGCCUUCGUGGGAAGCAGAGCAGAAAACU